CCACCACCUGGGAUCCGGGCAGGUCAGCGUCCCCUGCGCCCGGAGUGCCGAGUCGCUGAAGAAAAUUACUUUCCAAGAAGAAAUGUCUUAUUAUAUAACAAAGGAUGUAUUCGUCCUCUCCACUUGCCAGUCAAACGGAAACACAACGUGAAUUCUGUUCAGCUAUGUUCUUUGGGGAUUUUGUUGUCAGUAAAGAGAAGAGCAUGCAUCCACUUGGUCCUUUGGGAUGGCAAGAGCCAAGAAGUCCAGAGAUGAACAUGACAGCCCCCCUUCUUCCACCAGAACAACUUUAAAUCUAUUUGUAAAAUAUAAUGUACCAUUUUUUUCAAAUGUGGACUCCACCGUGGGCUUGAAGUAUCAGUGAUGACUCUACCAGGGCUCCAUUAGUCAUCAUCUUGUGUCCACAGAGCAGAACAGGCAAGAAGAAGUUGAAGUCACCAAUUGCUUCAAGAAACAUGGUGCUCAUAUUAAACAUGCUUACUGUAUGUUUUAGAGAUACAGAAAGCAGGUAGAUCAUAGGAUUUGGGGGUGGUGCCAAGCUUUUUCAAAAUAUAGUACGUCGUCACUUUAAGUUCUUCCAGGGAACAAAAAGCCAAGUGAACAAGAAGGUGGGCGUUUUGCUCUUUUCCUUCCCUGUCAUAUUGCAAGUUCUUAUCAUGUAUUUUAUUUUGCUCAUUUUCCCCUAAAAGCUUGUUUAAUUUCAGCAUCUCAAUGGUCAUUUUUAUUUCAGAGAUGCAUCCUCUGCUUCAACAAUGUAUUUGAAAAUGCUUUUGACCUGCAGGCAGUAUGAAAUGCAUUCUAAAUUAUCGUCCUAGCAGUAACGUGAUGAGGUGAAUGGUGAUGUUGUAUAGAAUUAUGACAUUUUACAGAGAGUUCUCAGAAAUUCUUGUCUCACUCUAGAAGUGACAAUAAAUAUCUGUGAAUUCUGAAUAAUGUGGCAGAACA